UAACAGAGAGUUCGAUCAUGGCUCAGAUGAACGCUGGUGGGAUGCUUUUACACAUGCAAGUCGAACGGCGUACGACCGGUCUGGUGGCGAGUGGCGAACGGCAGUGAGUAAUGUAUUGGAACGUGCCAGAGCGGGGAUAAUCACGCGAAAGCGUAGCUAAUACCGCACGCCCUUCGGGGAAAGCGGGGACCUUCGGGCCUCGCACUAUUAGAGCGGCCGAUAUCGGAUUAGCUAGUUGGUGGGUAACGCUCGCCAAGGCGACGAUCCGUAGCUGGUUUGAGAGACGACCAGCCACACUGGGACUGAGACACGGCCCAGACUCCAUGGAGGCAGCAGGGGAAUUUUGGACAAUGGGGGAAAUCCCUGAUCCAGCCAUCCCGCGUGUGCGAUGAAGGCCUUCGGGUUGUAAAGCACUUUUGGCAGGAAAGAAACGGCACGGGAUAAUACCCCGUGCAACUGACGGUACCUGCAGAAUAAGCACCGGCUAAUCACGCGCCAGCAGCCGCGGUAAUACGUAGGUGCAAGCGUUAAUCGGAAUUACUGGGCGUAAAAGCGUAUGCAGGCGGUUCGGAAAGAAAGAUGAACCAGAGCUUAACUUUGAACUGCAUUUUUAAUCACUGAGCUGAGAGUGUGUCAGAGGGAGGUGGAAUUCGCGUGUAGCAGUGAAAUGCGUAGAUAUGCGGAGGAACACCGAUGGCGAAGGCAGCCUCCUGGGAUAACACUGACGCUCAUGCACGAAAGCGUGGGGGACAAACAGGAUUAGAUACCCUGGUAGUCCACGCCCUAAACGAUGUCAACUAGUUGUUGGGGCCUUCGGGCCUUGGCAGCGCAGCUAACGCGUGAAGUUGACCGCCUGGGGAGUACGGUCGCAAGAUUAAACCAGCGAAUUGACGGGGACCCCGUAAUGCUGGGUGGAUGAUGUGGAUUAAUCUGAUGCAACGCGAAAAACCUUACCUACCUCGACAUGUUCAAAUCCCGAAGAGAUUUGGGAGUACUGCGGCGAGAACCGGAACACAGGUGCUGCAUGGCUGUCGCCAACGUCGUGAGAUGCUGGGUUAAGUCCGCCAGCAACCCUUGUCAUUAGUUGCUACGAAAGGUUCCCCCAUCGAGACUGCCGGUGACAAACCGGAGGAAGGUGGGGAUGAGUCAAGUCCUCAUGGCCCUUGCGGGGUAGGGCUUCAACACGUCAUACAAUGGUCGGGACAGAGGUCGCCAACCUGCGAGGGGGAGCCAAUCCCAGAAACCUGAUCGUAGUCCGAUCGUAGUCUACAACUCGACUGCGUGAAGUCGGAAUCGCUAGCGGUAAUCGUGGAUCAGCAUGUCGCGGUGAAUACGUUCCUGGGUCUUGUACACACCGCCCGUCACACCAUGGGAGUGGGUUUUACUGAAGCAGUUAGCCUAACCGUAAGGAGGGCGAUUACCACGGUAGGAUUCAUGACUGGGGUGAAGUCGUAACAAGGUAG
rnacentral:rRNA from 1 species